rnacentral:snRNA from 1 species
CUGUAUAUGGCUGCAAAUGGAUA